AAAUAAGUCAACACGACCAAAAUGGUCAAUUGACCCCCUAAGGAGUUAUUGCCCUUCAUAGUCAAUUUUUAACAAUUUUCAUAAAAUUUGUAGAUUUUCACUAACAUUUUCCACUGAAACUACUGAGCCAAGUUCAUUAUAGAUAGAGAUAAUUGUAAGCAGCAAGAAUGUUAAGUAAAGUAAAAUCUAAAAACACAUCACCAUUACCAAAAC
rnacentral:lncRNA from 1 species